UGACCAUUUAAGGCUAGUACUCAGAUCGAAAAAGAACUUUCCUAGCAAAAUGUGCAAUAUAUUAUGCUAGCAGCAGAGUGCGACCAGAGGUGAAAACCGCAUUCCGUACGGUUACACUUCUCAGGCAGCUGUGUUAUUUUGUUUACCUUUUUGAAAAUGUGUGAAAAUUGAAUAAAAGACUGGCGGCUCUUGCAUGAUAGGAGGAGGAGGACAAUCAACGAAAUCAACAUAUCUGCAGGGAAGAAACCAGGACGGUCGUUGUCUAUACAUUUGAGUAUUAUAAAUCAUAUAAAUAUGUGUUCAUUUAUGGAAACCUGUUGCCCGUUGCAAAGUUGUAAAACGGCGCCAUCGACCCUUGGCACGACCCUGUGAAGUAGUACUUUGUUCGAAAGGAAAACAACUUAAAAUAUUUUGUUAACAGCCCUGCCGGGUCUGUCUUGGCAACAUGAAGAUACACUCAAAUAAGUUAAACAAACUAAAAAUGCA
rnacentral:lncRNA from 1 species